UUCUGGUUAGCUCAAUUGGUAGAGCAACCGCCCUGAAAAGGCGUUGGUCCCAGGUUCGAUCCCCGGACCAGGAC
rnacentral:tRNA from 1 species